GUCCACGCCGUAAACGAUGUGUGCUAGACGUUGGGGGACCUAGUCUCCCGGUGUCGCCGCUAACGCAUUAAGCACACCGCCUGGGGAGUACGGCCGCAAGGUUAAAACUCAAAGGAAUUGACGGGGGCCCGCACAAGCGGUGGAGCAUGUGGUUUAAUUCGAUGCAACGCGCAGAACCUUACCAGCCCUUGACAUGGGGGUCGUAGGAUCCAGAGAUGGAUCCGUCGGUUCGGCCGGACCCCAACAGGUGCUGCAUGGCUGUCGU
rnacentral:rRNA from 1 species